AGCCAUGAGAGGUUAUUUGCCCCAAAUUCAGGGAAACAGACCAGAGCUGUAGCCUAGGACUUGGCUGUGCUGUGCUGGUUCCCACUGCUGGCUUCCUGCCACUGUUGACCAGCACUGUUGGGCCAGGAUCGGAAGUGGCAGAAUCAGGGUGAGAGUCUGUGGCUCUCCAGGCUUCCCCUCAGGUUCCUUCCUUACACUAUUGCUUGUCUUCCCGUCUCCCCCCACCAUGCACCCAGAGCUCUUCCACACCUGCCCUGCCCAGCCUGUCCUCCUUAUUGACCUCUCCAGGGGCUAGUGUACAGAGAUCCAUCCUGCAGCGCUGCUGUGGAGAAUCCACAAACCUGGGAUGGAUAGAAGUUCCCAUUCACACAGUUAUUCGGAUCCCCAGAGGCUUGCGGAGUGCCUGCCCAAGAGUCCCCACUGUGCUGGCGAUGAAUGGCACGGUGUGGGACAGCGUCACUGGUGGAACAGCACCAAGCCAAGUCUCUUCUCUGGCACAGACACUCUGCUGUGCCGUCAGCCUGCUCUGCCCUCAAUGGAAGGUGUGGGUAAUUAAGCCUUGGAAGACACCGUUCCAGAUGACCGCACAGCUCGAGAGAGUUUUCUGUUUGAC
rnacentral:lncRNA from 1 species